rnacentral:lncRNA from 10 species
AGUGUACGGGACGACAGUGCCUAGCAGAGGAGCUUCACUGCCGGUGAGGGAUUACCUCAGAAACUUCCUUCUACUACUUAAAGUCCUCACAUUGGGCUGACCUGGGAAACAUGAAGAUAAAAAGAGUGGGUAAACAUGCCUGCUUGAUGAGCCAGAAAAAAAGGCAGAAACCUGUGGUCUGGGUAGAACAGAUCCUGCUCAGAAUGUAAGCUUCAAACAUGUUUAUCAUGCCUUGGUUCAACCUAACUCUCUGACAUGUUCCUAAACUCCUGCUCUCUCAAGUUAUGUCCCUUUCCUCUUUUCAAAUAUCUCUCAGAAUUCACCCUUUCGGGAACCUUUGCUGAUUGACUCCUAUUUUAUUUGAAUUCUGCAUCAUCAUCUGAUUACUUAAAUUAACCUGUACCUUCUUUAUUUAUACUUGUUAACUUCUAUUUUCAUUGCUCUUAGGUCCUCAGUCUUUCUCACUAUACGGAGAGCUUCUUAAAGUCUGUAUUUUCUCCUCUUUAGUAUCAUUCACUCAUUCAUCCAGCAAACUGCUUGUGUGCCUGCUCUGUGCUAUACACUCUUCUAGACACUGGGUCAGGUAUGAAUGAGACAGGUGAAUAAAGCAUGGUCUUUUCCCUCAGGGACCUUACAGUCUAAUGAGGAAAAAACGUGUGCAGACAUAUAUAAGAUAAGUGAGAGAGUCGGAGAAGAACAUCAGAAGUGAUAUUUGAGCAUAGUAAGGUCAAAGAAGUUUCAAAGUUUAGUCAUUUGUCCAUUCAGUAACUAUUUAUAGAGCAUCUUCUGUGUGCUAGGCACUAUAUAAGAAAUUAAGGGGCUGGGUGUGGUGGCUCAUGCCUGUAAUCCCAGCACUUCGGGAGGCUGAGGCAGGUGAAUCACCUGAGGUCAGGAGUUCGAGACCAGCCUGGCCAACAUGGUGAAACCCCGUCUCUACUAAAAAUACAAACAUUAGCCAAGUGUAGUGGCGCAUGCCUGUAAUCCCAGCUACCCUGGAGGCUUAAGCAGAAGAACCGCUGGAACCCAGGAGAAGAAGGCUACCAUGAGCCGAGAUUGCACCAUUGCACUCCAGCCUGGGCGACAGUGAGACUCUGUCUCAAAAAAAAAAAAAAGAAAGAAAGAAAGAAAUAAAAAAAAAAGAAAUUAAGGAUACACAGAAGAAAAGGCAUGGUCUGUGCCCUGAAGGAGCUUACAGUUAAGCAGAGAAGUUGCACGAUUUGGAAGUAGUAAGGUAAAUUGAGUCAGAUUUUGAAAGGCAAUGUAGAGCUGUUAGAAGUUUAUUCGCACAGGUAGCCAGGCACAGUGGCUCAUGCCUGUAAUCCCAGCACUUUGGGAAGCCAAGGUGGCAGAUCACUGGAGGUCAGGAGUUCAAGACCAGCCUGGCCAACACAGUGAAACCCCAUCUCUACUACAAAUACAAAAAUUAGCCAGAUAUGGUGGCAUAUGCUUGUAAUCCCAGCUACUCGGGAGGCUGAGGCAGGAGAAUCGCUUGAAUCCGGGAGGCAGAGGUUGCAGUGAGCCGAGAUCGUGCCACUGCAGUCUAGGCUGGGCAAACAGAGCCAGACUCUGUCUCAAAAAAGAAGUUUAUUCAGACAGGUAAUGUGAGAGAGAACUAGUGAUGGUGAAGGAAGAGGGCUAGCUGGAGUGGGUAAAGACUGGAGAAAGGGAUCCUAAUCAGAAAACUAUGAUGAGGGUUUGAUUACACAGGAAAGAAGGCGAGAAGGGGCAGAUAUGUGAAAUACAUCCUCCUAAACCAAGUCAGAGCAACUGGAGAGGGAGGUGGAGCAGUUAGCAAUCGGAAGCAUUCAAGUUUCAUUCAGGGUAUAAACCAGGAAAAGUUGUUCUGGCCCCUCAUCUGGUUUCAUGAAGGACAAUAUCUAGCAUGAGAGUGACAGGGGUUAGAAUAAUGGACAUUUUGGGGACUGGGUCCUAGCAGAAAUGAUGGAAUAAUGGAACAGGAGUUUGGAUGAAUGGGCAUAUUAUGGGAUUAAAGAAGAUUUGAAUACAAGCUUUCCUAAUAAAUGAAAGGGGAGGUGAAACUAGAGCAUGCUGAUGGCUGCACAGCAUUGUGAAUGCACUAAAUGCACUAACUGUCCACUUUAAAAUGUUUAGUAAUAUGUCGAUUUUACCUAAAUAAAAAAAAGGAAGCAACAUAGUGAGUCAUCGUCUCUAUAACAAUUUUAUUCAG